AACGCACCUUGCACUCCUUGGUAUUCCGAGGAGUAUGCCUGUUUGAGUGUCUGUAAAUCAUCAAUCCAUCUUCACUUUGUUGUGGAGUUUGGAUUGGACUUGGGGAUUGCUGUCCUUUACAGGUUGGCUUCCCUUAAAGAUAUUAGUUGGACGAGUUGCAAUGCUACGUGUAGUGUGAUAAUAUCUUCACUGCAUAGUUGUAAUGAAGUUUAGCUUCUAACAGUCCUUUACUGGACAUUACUUGACCAUUAGACCUCAAAUCAGGUAGGACUACCCGCUGAACUUAA
rnacentral:misc_RNA from 1 species